rnacentral:misc_RNA from 1 species
CUAAGACAUUUAUUAUAAAAAAAACAAAAAGAAACAUCUUAACGUGCAUUAACAUCAAAUGGUUCAGUUUAGGAAUGAACCCGUCUAACAUUGACGUUGAUUCUACUGAGGGGAAGCACACAAGCCGUAUUCACACAAUAUUGUAUGGCCAUCCACAAAUAAGAUUACACAAGAAACCGGGGGGGAGGGCACAGGCCUAUAAAGCCUCAGCGUUCAUAAUAUUUUGUUCCUCCCUACCCGAGAUUUUCUUACUACAACCAAGUCCAAGUGCAAUAACUAGAAACAUAAGCAAAUAAGAAACAGAGGACUCAAUUUUGGGACCCAUUAAAAGCUUUCAACAAUCAAAUACCAUAAGCAUCUAUCAUCAUUUGCCCAGACAGUGGAUUUGAUCUGUUGAUAGCAACACUAUCUCACUAGUUGCGACUUUUACACUUCUCCAUGGCUCUUGGGGCUGCAAAAAACAGAUAUGGAAACAUCCAAUGGUAAGAUUUACCUGAAUACUGAUUAUCAGGAGGAGGAUUCAAUUGUAGUAGGAAAAGAUGAAGGGGAAAAUACCUUAAAUUCCAAAUGAUGGAAAUCUUAGUUUUACAGAGAUUAUAGCCGUUGCAGGUGUAAAUUUUUUAUGCAUUUAAAUAACGGAUGUCACGGUGACGGGAGGCUAAAAUGCUUGCAUGCAACAGCCAUUAUUUAAGACCAUGCAUACAGCAAAUUGGCACUAUAAUUACAUGCAUGGCCUAGCUGCAUUGAAUUAGUAUAUGAUGACUAGAUGUGAAGUAGGAAUCUGUCCACUGCAUUUUUUGUUUGACAAAAACAUACCUAGGCCAAUUGCCUCUGAACUUUUCAUAAUCCUCAACCUCCUACAAGAGUCGGUGAACAUCUUCCAAGGAACAUCACCA